AAUGCUCUUACGUAAAUAACGUGGGAUCUAAUGGAUCCAAGGUUUUAUGAUCGUUCGUCAUGAUUUUUGUAAAGUGAUGCAGUUAAACUUUUUUUUUUAAAUAGAUUUCGAACUGGAAUUAUGAACAACAAAGGCGACCGACUGUCGGGAUUGCAUGAGGUGAAAUGUUGACUAGCGUAGGACUAGCUGUUAGGAUAAUGGCUGCUGGACUAGGAUGCCAGAAGGUGCGUGAGAAUGUGACAAUAAAACGAUGGAAAUAUUGGAAUCGGCGCAAUAUGAUUCUACGACGGGACGCGAAAUGAAACGAAACAAUGUUUGCGUUGCGCGGAACGUCGGAUUGCUGGAAUCGUGGAUUUGUUAAUAUCGAGCGUCUAGCUAGUACCACGUCAAAAUGGCCGACGUUUAGUACGACCUUAGUCGGGAUUAAAAUUGUCUAUAUUUUAUAUCGGGUGUCCGUUUAUGAAAACUAGUAAAGCCUGACAAUUUUUAACGUUAACUAUUAAUAGUUCUGAUUCUCGAUAUUUUUUACAUUUUCAAAGGAUUUUUCGAUGAUAAUAAUUAUACGAGAGGGAUGAUGCAAUUACGCUGUGUGUUUUCGUGAAGCGUAUAAAAUAUGGAGAUCCUUUAUUCAAUUUAGUAUCACGUACCUGAAGAAACUAUAGAAACUAUAGAAGUUUACAAUGAUAUAGUGCGUGACUAGAGCAACUGUGUAUGCAAAUAAGUCUUCCGACGUAAUAUGACAUUUUUAAAAUACGAUAUCAAAUAAUUACAUUGAAACGUAUGACGUUAGGACGUACGAUAUAUGAAAAAUGAAUGUCUGAAAAAAUUAAUAUAACAAUAAAUGAUUGAAAACGGCUUUAAAAAUUUGGAAAUAAAAUAUUUCAUUUGGAAAUUCGAAAUCUGUGAGUUAGGAUAGAUUUUUAAUGGCAAUUUACAUAUACUGUCACACCCGGUAGAAAUCGAUUAAGGUGAGACGCCGAUAAACAAUUGACUGUCCUAAAACUGCGGUUAAACAAGGAAACGGUAAAACAGCACCUAAUCGGCACGAGUCAGCGUGCUGCAAGGAGUUUAAAGGUUUUUUUCAAAGUUUUUUGAGAAGGUAAUAGGCGGUUAGAAAUUUAAAAAAAAAUGUCAAGCAGUGCUUCCUCGGCAACGGUGGUCGUGAAGAAGCGUGAAAGAACCCAAAACUGGGUACCAGAGGAGAAGAGCGCUCUGUUCUCGUUGAUAAAGGUUCACGUGAAUGCGAUUGAGAAUAAGAAGAUCGACGCGGCAGCAUCCGCCAUGAAGACUCUUGCCUGGCAGCAGAUUUAUUGUGCCUUUAGGGGACGAUUCUCGACGGAACGUGACAUUACGAGAAUGCGCGAGCAAUGGCGAAGGAUGAAGGCUCAGGCUAGGAUCGAAAUGUACACAUUUGCAGAGAAGGUUAGAACUUUGGGACCUGAGGAAGCUGCUAAAAGUCGACCUUCUAACCUCUCGAUCGAGGUCUGGCGACUUAUGGAAAGUACAAAAAAAAAUGAUUGCGAUGCCGAACGUUCCGAUGAAAGUAGUCAAGACGCGGAUGGCUCUACGAAUUUUCAAGCAAUUUUGGACAAGUUGGCAGCAUCGUCGCCCCCGGAGAUUUCUGUUCACGAAAUUAAAUUGGAGACGAAUAGUGAUGACUAUAAUGACGAAGAUACGAGUCAACCUAAUUUACUUGACAAACAACCUGACGUUUUUCGUAAAAGAAAAAGAAUCUCACACAGUGACGAACCCAUGGAUCUUGUCGAUCAGAAACGUUUAAAGACUGGAGAUACAGUUAGACAACUUCACGAGACGAAUGAGGACGAUGACAGCGGUCAGAGUGCUACAUCUCCUCAGUUAACCUGUCAGGAUGAACAAAUUCAAAGAGCCGUCUGGAUAUUCGAAGCCGCACAAAAGGAGCACAAUCUCAAAUUACAAAUGUUAAAUAUCGAAUUGGAACGAGCUGAAUUGCAGAAACAGACAGCUAUAAAUGAGUUGAAAGCUUCAGAAAUUAAAAAAAGGCUGAUUGAGAAUCAAGCGGCCGAUUAUUACAGCCAAUGGUUUACUUGCUGCGACAUCAGAGCCUCUAGCGGCUGGCUUGAGAAUCAUUGAAACUGGUGAAAAACGUCUCACAGUCUCUACUCAGUUUAACGUACAGUCAGUGUUUAAAGUUCGUCAUUUUGUAAAGAAAUCAGCUCGUUCAGAACAGAGUGAAUUACUUGAAAUUAACGAUGCAGCGUGUACCCGCAAUUCUCACGAGAAAUAUGGCCUUCAUGAGUCAAGUCAGGAUGAUCGGUGAACGUGGCAGUGGA